CGUGAUUCUCCGGAAAAUAAGCCCUUUUCCGGAGGAUCUCUUAUUCUUACUUUCAAGAAAAAGAAAGUAAAGUAAGAAUAAGAGAUCCUCCGGAAAAGGGCUUAUUUUCCGGAGAAUCACG
rfam:Pelodiscus sinensis unplaced genomic scaffold scaffold171, whole genome shotgun sequence.